GACGAACGCUGGCGGCGUGCUUAACACAUGCAAGUCGAACGGAAAGGCCCUGCUUGCAGGGUGCUCGAGUGGCGAACGGGUGAGUAACACGUGGGUGAUCUGCCCCUUACUUUGGGAUAAGCCUGGGAAACUGGGUCUAAUACUGGAUAGGACCAUGCUGUAGGUGGUGUGGUGGAAAGAUUAGUUUCGGUAAGGGAUGAGCUCGCGGCCUAUCAGCUUGUUGGUGGGGUAAUGGCCUACCAAGGCGUCGACGGGUAGCCGGCCUGAGAGGGUGGACGGCCACAUUGGGACUGAGAUACGGCCCAGACUCCUACGGGAGGCAGCAGUGGGGAAUAUUGCACAAUGGGCGCAAGCCUGAUGCAGCGACGCCGCGUGGGGGAUGACGGCCUUCGGGUUGUAAACUCCUUUCAGCCAUGACGAAGCCCUUGUGGUGGCGGUAGUGGUAGAAGAAGCACCGGCUAACUACGUGCCAGCAGCCGCGGUAAUACGUAGGGUGCGAGCGUUGUCCGGAAUUACUGGGCGUAAAGAGCUCGUAGGUGGUCUGUCGCGUCAUUUGUGAAAGCCCGGGGCUUAACUCCGGGUUGGCAGGUGAUACGGGCAUGACUGGAGUACUGUAGGGGAGACUGGAAUUCCUGGUGUAGCGGUGAAAUGCGCAGAUAUCAGGAGGAACACCGGUGGCGAAGGCGGGUCUCUGGGCAGUAACUGACGCUGAGGAGCGAAAGCAUGGGUAGCGAACAGG
rnacentral:rRNA from 1 species